ACGGGAGGCAGCAGUGAGGAAUAUUGGUCAAUGGACGCAAGUCUGAACCAGCCAUGCCGCGUGCAGGAAUAAGGCCCUAUGGGUCGUAAACUGCUUUUGUGGUGGAGCAAUAAGUCGUACGUGUACGGCGAUGAGAGUACAUCACGAAUAAGCAUCGGCUAACUCCGUGCCAGCAGCCGCGGUAAUACGGAGGAUGCAAGCGUUAUCCGGAUUUAUUGGGUUUAAAGGGUGCGUAGGCGGGAUGUUAAGUCAGCGGUGAAAGCGUGUAGCUCAACUAUACCAAGCCGUUGAAACUGGCGUUCUUGAGUGUAAACGAGGUAGGCGGAAUGUGACGUGUAGCGGUGAAAUGCUUAGAUAUGUCACAGAACCCCGAUUGCGAAGGCAGCUUACCAGCAUACAACUGACGCUGAGGCACGAAAGUGCGGGGAUCAAACAGGAUUAGAUACCCUGGUA
rnacentral:rRNA from 1 species